rnacentral:rRNA from 1 species
UUCGCAGUCCUCGGUCUAGGCAGGCAGCAUCAACGCAGGCUAUAACACUUCACCGAAGCAAAGUCACAUUCCUACGCCAUUAUCCUACCGCCCAAACCGAUGCUGGCCCGAUAAGCUGCGGGUCACCCCGCCACGAAGGCAAGGCUCACAAAAUAUCGAGUCUGAUCUCAAACCCUUCCCUUUCAACAAUUUCACGUACUUUUUCACUCUCUUUUCAAAGUUCUUUUCAUCUUUCCAUCACUGUACUUGUUCGCUAUCGGUCUCUCGCCAAUAUUUAGCUUUAGAUGGAAUUUACCACCCACUUAGAGCUGCAUUCCCAAACAACUCGACUCUUCGAAAGCACCUUACAUAGGAUUGGGCAUCUCAUCGCACGGGAUUCUCACCCUCUGUGACGUCCUGUUCCAAGAAACAUAGACAAGAGCCAACCCCAAGGUUACAAUCUUCAAAUUACAACUCGGACACCGAAGGUGCCAGAUUUCAAAUUUGAGCUUUUGCCGCU